AUAACCCUGCUGUACAUGAAAGAAAAGGCUACAAAUAACAAUAACUGCCACAGAAAAAUAAUGCAUGACAAAAUAUACAGACCAUUUACAAUUACGUGCAAUAUUACAUUACAAUGAACAACAACUGUGACUGUCAUCAUAUAGAGCCACUUUAGCUUACUGUAUAGGACAUUAUACGCCUGUGGGUGGCGGUAAUGUGUAACAUUGUGCGCUACAGCAGACAACUUGCAAGAGAAGAAGAAAAUCAGGAGGGCUGUUUGAAAAGAUGAACUGCGCGUAAUAUAAUAUUUAUAUCGCUUGAAAACUAUAUAUAUGAUGAUGCUUUAAUAUAUCAAGACGCACGAGAUUUUUAAUCAUUAUGAGCAAAGAACCUCAAGCCUGUUUCAGUUCAAAUAAUGGCUGGAGAACUUUCAUGUGGUUUGAGGGGCCAAUCCUUCUACCUGCAUGAUGUGAAGAGACAUCAUCAGCCGUCUGGGAGGGAAAGUGGACAGUUUUCUCACCAAGGAUGUGAAUGUGAUUUUGUCGGGCGUUAAAGAACCUCAUAGUGCUUUGCAGGUGGAUGGUUCAUGUACUGCAGGGGGAAACAAAGUGGAACCCCCAGAACUUUGGAGAAGUAUCAGAGCAGUGUGCUGGCAAAUGCUUGUUUGUGGGGAGUCAAGGUCUACAAUGUAGAUGAAUUUCUAAAGUUCAUCAAUCAUCUAAAUCAGAAAAUGAGGACAGCUAAGAAAAAAAGAAGCAAACUGACAGCUCCUCAUGUGAGAGCUGGAGUUUUGAGAGGUCCUUAUCUGAAAGUGGAGGACUCCAGUCGGUGAUUCUCUUAACUCUGCUUUCUGUUUAGAUGGUAGUUUAGGUACUUUAUACUGUAUUUUACACUGUAUUUUAUUUUAAGUGAAACCAAUAGGUUGUCUCAGCCUCUGGAACUGUGAUCAGAUAAUGAGUCAAGAAGUUGUCAGUUGUAGCUGAUCUCACUUCUGGUUCAUUCAUGUCUCUGAAAAUGGGAAGACAAAGUCUUGUAUAUUGCAUUGUGUGUACACUAUUUUUGUGCAGUGUGCUCUGGCUGUGCACUGAACAAUUGUUUUUUUUUUUCAAAUCUAGAUAUAGUAGUAGUAAUAGUGUAUAUGACAGAAAUAGUAUGAGUGCUGUUAUACUUUUCCAGUCAUAGCCAGUGUCUCUUUAAUGAAACGAGUGGAUUGUCUGCUGUCAGAUUUUAUGUGCUUAUUUUGGUUUGUCUUUAUUUUUAAAAUCCCAAUAACUCUCUGGUUAUAAUAAACACAAUAUGUUAUACUUUCCAUUGUAAAACUGUUUUGGUCUCCAGGCCCAUUAACAAGGCGAAUGUUUCAGCCCAGGUCACUGUAGCUGUUUUAGAAAAGUUAAUUAUCAAAAUGCAUGCCGCACCCUUGGAGCGGAAAAGGUAUCAGAAAGAUAUCCUUUCUCUCCCCUGCUGAGGAUCUGUGUGCACAGAGCAGCUCUUGGCUAAUGAAAAGAACUAUUGUGUUUUGAGUCUGUUUGGCACUGCUGUCAGAAAUUGAUCCCACAAAUACUAGAUCCUGGUGGAUAUUGUUGAUUAAGCUAAUGUUAUACAUUAUGCAGUACAUUUUUUUUUUUUACACACCAUAAAUACUACAGUGACAUGUAAACAGACAGAUGAAAUGUCAUUUUAGCAUCCUCAGCAAAAAAACACAAAUACAUUUUCUCAUAGAUUUCAUUAUUUGGCUGCACAUCCGAUUUUGGUAGCACAUUUAGGUAACACUUUACAGUAAGGCUCUGUAUGUUUGCAUUACUUAAAUCCAAUAAUUAACAUGAUAUGUUUAUAAUCCUUUUACAUGCAUAAGUAUUAAUUUCUAUAAUGGUAUUGAUUUUACUCAUAACUACUGAAAGUUAUCAAAAGAUUAAUUUAAUCGUUUAGCAGAUGUGAAGGCCUAGAAAUCUCAACCAUUUCUUAUGCCAGAGGAUGAUGCAACUGAAAGAGAACUCUAAACUUUUGAAAUACAGUAUGUGUUGACAUUUACUGCUAAUUAACUGUAUCAGCAGCACCAGAUGCAUCUGUUCUUUCCAAUUUGGAAAUAUAAUUUAUCUCCACCUUACCAAAUUGCUUAGACCCUGAUCAUUGUCAAGUUCUUAAACUCAAAGUUUUGAAAAACUUAAAUAUAAUAGUUUCAAGUGACAUUAUGCUUAUUAAGUAAGUGAGUGACGUGACAUACAUGCAAGUAUGGUGACCCAUACUCAGAAUUCGUGCUCUGCAUUUAACCCAUCGAGAGUGCACACACACACAGCAGUGAACACACACACACACACACACCCGGAGCAGUGGGCAUCCAUUUAUGCUGUGGCGCCCGGGGAGCAGUUGGGGGUUCAGUGCCUUGCUCAAGGGCACCGAAGUCGUGGUAUUGCCAGCCGGAGACUUGAACCCACAACCUUAGGGUUAGGAGUCAAACUCUCUAACCACUAGGCCACGACUUCCCCUCCCCU
ensembl:lncRNA